rnacentral:rRNA from 1 species
AAUGAACGUUGGCGGCGUGGAUUAGGCAUGCAAGUCGUGCGAGAAGUCUUUUGCUUGCAUUAGACGGAAAGCGGCGCAAGGGAGAGUAACGCGUGGAUACCUACCCCCAGGUUCGGGAUAGCUGCGGGAAACUGCAGGUAAUACCGAAUAAUAUCUCCGGAUCAAAGGUGUGAUUCCGCCUGGAGACGGAUCCGCGUCCUAUUAGCUUGUUGGUGGGGUAACGGCCUACCAAGGCUACGAUGGGUACCGGGCGUGAGAGCGUGACCCGGCUCACUGGGACUGAGACACUGCCCAGACACCUACGGGUGGCUGCAGUCGAGAAUCUUUGGCAAUGGACGAAAGUCUGACCAAGCGACGCCGCGUGCGGGAUGAAGGCCCUCGGGUUGUAAACCGCUGUCAGUUGGGAGGAAAUCACAUGGGGUCAUCCCCAUGUGUUGACCUAUCUUCAGAGGAAGGACGGGCUAAGUUCGUG